rnacentral:rRNA from 1 species
UACGUAGGGUGCAAGCGUUAAUCGGAAUUACUGGGCGUAAAGCGUGCGCAGGCGGUUGGGCAAGACCGAUGUGAAAGCCCCGGGCUUAACCUGGGAAUGGCAUUGGUGACUGCUCGGCUAGAGUGUGUCAGAGGGGGGUAGAAUUCCACGUGUAGCAGUGAAAUGCGUAGAGAUGUGGAGGAAUACCGAUGGCGAAGGCAGCCCCCUGGGAUAACACUGACACUCAGGCACGAAAGCGUGGGGAGCAAACAGG